rnacentral:rRNA from 1 species
UUAGAGGAAGUAAAAGUCGUAACAAGGUUUCCGUAGGUGAACCUGCGGAAGGAUCAUUACCGAGUACGGGUCCCUAUCCCCUUGCCGGGGGGUAGGGGCCCAGACCUCCCACCCGUGUCGAUUGUACCGUGUUGCUUCGGUGGGCCCGCCAACUAUGGCCGCCGGGGGGCUUGCGAGCGCUGCCCCCGGGCCCGUGCCCGCCGGAGACCUCUCCCGAAAUGCUACUGUGGUCAGGAAUGCUGUCUGAGUGGUGAGAAAUUGAUCAAAAAACUUUCAACAAUGGAUCUCUUGGUUCCGGCAUCGAUGAAGAACGCAGCGAAAUGCGAUAAGUAAUGCGAAUUGCAGAAUUCCGUGAGUCAUCGAAUCUUUGAACGCACAUUGCGCCCCCCGGUUUCCCGGGGGGCAUGCCUGUCCGAGCGUCAUUGCCAUCCCCUCAAGCUCUGCUUGGCUUGUUGGGCCGGCGUCCGCCCGUGGCUCCUGUCGCGGGGGGACGGGCCCGAAAGGCAGUGGCGGCUCCCGGAGGGUUGGUCCUUUGGGCGGUGAUACAUGGGUCUUUUCUUCCACCGUCCCGCUGGCCACGCCCCGAGAGCCUGUCGAACGAUUGGUCUUCCCCUUUAGGUUGACCUCGGAUCAGGUAGGGAUACCCGCUGAACUUAAGCAUAUCAAUAA